rnacentral:rRNA from 1 species
CGAAACUGAAGAUGGCGACCGGCGCACGGGUGAGUAACGACGUAUCCAACCUGCCGAUAACUCCGGAAUAGCCUUUCGAAAGAAAGAUUAAUACCGGAUAGUAUACGAAUAUCGCAUGAUAUUUUUAUUAAAGAAUUUCGGUUAUCGAUGGGGAUGCGUUCCAUUAGUUUGUUGGCGGGGUAACGGCCCACCAAGACUACGAUGGAUAGGGGUUCUGAGAGGAAGGUCCCCCACAUUGGAACUGAGACACGGUCCAA